rnacentral:lncRNA from 1 species
AGCUUGUAGGCACUGUAUCCUCUCACAUCCGCACAAGAACAAGGUACAAUUCAAUACGAGAUUUGUACUCUCCAUCCAUCAAAGGUCCUUGUAAAAAGUCUAGAUGUGGAGGCAGAGUCUCCCUUGACCAGACAUGACUGCCAGGAGCUGCUUGAGAAAUGAUCCCAAAGAGCGUGGAUGGCAGAUUUGGGUGGAUGAAAAGAGAAUGAGAGAUGACUUCCAAAGCACCUGAGCCUCACAGUCUGUGCCUUUCAUUUGGAUUUCUGAGACUACCUCUGUGCCGAUUCCUGAUAUGCGGGGUCCGCUUCACUGCUCACGCUUCCCCUCCUGUCAGAUUCUCAUUUCCCUGUCAAAGUGCUACUCUGGAGAAACAACACAGCUGACAGAGUUGAAGGCCUAUGUAACAAUUAAA